rnacentral:lncRNA from 1 species
UCAUUUUGAUCUCACAUGAUUUUUUAAUUAGCCUACUGUCUCGCCCACAAUUUCCUUAAUUGUGGAAUACCAUUGGGUAUUUUGGGUCAGAUCUAUCUUCUAUAUAUUUAUCAAUUCUAUGUUGUACACAUCUUUUUUUUACUAAAGAAUGAAUUAAGAUACAUUAGAAAAAAUAAAUCAAACAUGCAUCUCUAAAUUUAGAGUUCAAAAUUUUCACUUUAAAAUUGUGUCAAAAUACUUAUGAGUUCCUAUACGAUUUGAUUUUUCCAUCUAAACUCAUAUAUAUAUUUUUGGCUAUUUUAAUUAUGUAUUUUUAAAUGUUUACCGAAUCUAUUUUUAGCUUUAAUUAUCGUUAUGGGUCACUAAGUCUCAAACAUAUGGUCAUUUGAGUUUUUUUUAUCUAAAUCCCUAUAUUUUUUAGUCUAUAUUAACUAUAUACUUUUAACUUUUUAUUAAAUCCAACCUUAGUCUUAAUUGUCGUUUAUGAGCUAUUAAGCCUCAAACACAUGAUUGUUUAUGUGUCAAAAUCAGAACAUGUGAACAAUAAUAUGACACAUGAUAUGACUGUCAUGUUAGAUUAACAAACUCAAAAAUUCAUCUAUCACUCCCAAUUCUUAUCAUCAUCUUUCUCUAACCCCCACUAUUUUUUUGAGUUGUAAUCUAAUACCCUUUUAUACAUGUCAUUUCUAUACUUCUUCAUUCUCUUAGAGAAGAUUUCAAAAACUUAUUCGUUUGUUUUAGGUACCAUGAACAACAAGAGAGAAUAAGGAGAUCACCUUAUUCUUUCCUCGAUUUUGGGAACAUGGAUGGAAAAAAGGAAGGAGGCGACAAGGAGAUAAGAUGGUAUUUGAGAUUUGAAGAUUUCUAAUGUUAGAGCUCGAAGGAAGGG